AUUAGACCUUGAGGAUGUUCCUCAGCUAGAUAGCCAUGAUAGUGUUAUUGGGACUUUUCCAAAAUUUAAAAACAGGCUUGAAUCAGCUGAUAGUGAGGGGAAUGGUGUUACCUCACUUAAGCUGGUGAAGGCACUGUUCUUUUCAGCUUGGAAAGAUAUUCUUUGGACAGCUUUGUUUGCAUUUACGUACACGGUGGCUUCAUAUGUUGGCCCAUUCCUCAUCGACACUUUCGUUCAGUAUCUGAAUGGGCAAAGGGAAUUUAAGGCUGAGGGCUAUCUUCUAGUUGCUGCUUUCUUUGUUGCCAAGCUAGUGGAGUGCUUGUUUCAGAGGCGCUGGUUCUUUAAGUUGCAACAAGUUGGACUUAGGCAGAGGGUUGUAUUGGUAGCAGUGAUAUAUAACAAGGGGUUAACCCUUUCGUGCCAGUCGAAGCAGAGCCAUACCAGUGGGGAGAUCAUCAAUUUCAUGACUGUUGAUGCAGAAAGGGUGGGUGACUUUAGUUGGUACAUGCAUGAUCCAUGGAUGGUAGUUUUGCAAGUUGCUUUGGCCUUGUUGAUCUUGUAUAAGACCCUAGGGCUUGCAUCCAUUGCCGCUUUCGUUGCUACUGUACUUGUUAUGUUGGCGAAUAUUCCUUUGGGGAAAAUGCUGGAGAAGUUUCAGGAUAAGUUAAUGGAAUCAAAAGAUACAAGGAUGAAGGCAACAUCUGAAAUUUUGAGGAAUAUGAGGAUUCUUAAACUGCAGGGGUGGGAAAUGAAGUUCCUCUCCAGGAUUGUCGGGCUCAGGAGCGUCGAGGAAGGAUGGUUAAAACGAUUCGUUUAUACAAAUGCCAUGACUGCUUUCGUUUUCUGGGUUGCACCAUCCUUUGUGUCUGUAGCCACUUUUGGUGCUUGUAUGUUCUUAGGAGUCCCACUUGAGUCAGGGAAGAUCCUAUCUGCACUCGCAACAUUCAGGAUUCUUCAGGAGCCAAUCUACAACCUUCCUGACACAAUCACAAUGAUAGUUCAAACAAAGGUGUCACUUGAUCGAAUUGCUGCCUUCCUCCGGCUCGAUGACUUGCAGCCUGAUGCUAUAGAGAAGCUACCCAGUGGUAGUUCCAAUAUAGCGAUUGAGAUUGCUGAUGGGAACUUCUCUUGGGAUACGUCAUCCCCUACUGCAACACUAAAAGAUAUAAACUUGAAAGUUUCCCAUGGCAUGAGUGUUGCUGUUUGUGGUACGGUCGGCUCUGGCAAGUCAAGUUUACUUUCCUGUCUUUUGGGAGAGUUACCAAAGAUAUCAGGAACGCUUAAGUUGUGUGGUACAACAGCCUAUGUUGCCCAGUCACCUUGGAUACAAAGUGGCAAGAUUGUAGACAACAUAUUGUUCGGUAAGGAAAUGGACAGAGACAAGUAUGACAAAGUGCUUGAAGCUUGUACCCUCAAGAAGGAUCUUGAAAUUCUCUCUUUCGGUGAUCAGACGGUUAUAGGCGAGAGGGGAAUCAAUCUGAGUGGUGGACAAAAGAAAAGAAUACAGAUUGCUCGUGCUCUAUACCAAGAUGCCGAUAUCUAUCUGUUUGAUGAUCCUUUCAGCGCAGUGGAUGCUCAUACCGGAUCUCAUUUAUUUAAGGUAAUGUCUUCUUAAUGAUCAUAAGGCAUGCAUUUUAAGAGUCGCUAUAGUUAAUUUAGUUGAAAUAGUUAUGUAUGAGCUCUGAGUAUCUUGUUUACUCUUUUGAUUGGCAGGAGGUUUUACUAAAGAAUUUGAGAUCAAAAACAGUGAUUUAUGUCACUCACCAAGUUGAGUUUUUACCAGCUGCUGAUUUAAUUUUGGUAAGCUAUUAUUUACAUGAUUUUCAGUGAUUUUCAUCAUAUGUCUAAGAUUCAAGAAAUAAUUUACUAACUAGAUGCAACUUGUAUUUACAUAUUUGUUAGGUGAUGAAAGAUGGGAGGAUUGUUCAAGCUGGAAAUUAUAAUGAUAUUCUCAAUUCAGGUACUGAUUUUAUGGAACUUGUGGGUGCACAUAAGAAAGCUUUGUCGGCCCUUGAUACUGUUGAAGCAAGUUCGGUUUCUGAACAAACUACCAGCGAAGGAGAAAGUGAUAUAGGUACUACUAAUGGGAAAGUGCAGAAACAAGAAAACCAAGGUAACCAGAGCUUUAAAGUAGAUGAUGUCGGACCAAAAGGACAGCUUGUUCAAGAAGAAGAACGAGAGAAAGGACAAGUCGGGUUUCGGUCUACUGGAAGUACAUCACAACAGCAUAUGGAGGAGCUCUUGUGCCUUUAAUACUGCUUGCUCAGAUUCUCUUUCAGAUUUUUCAAAUAAGCAGCAACUAUUGGAUGGCUUGGGGAUCACCGGUGUCGGCAGACAUAAAGCCUCCUGUUGGGAGCUUUACACUAAUCAUGGUCUAUUUGGCUUUGGCCAUUGCAAGUGCCAUUUGUGUCUUUGCCAGAUCCAUGCUUCUUGGUACAGCUGGAUAUAAAACAGCCACUCUUCUCUUUAUAAAGAUGCAUCUUUGCAUUUUCCGCGCUCCUAUGUCUUUCUUCGAUUCUACACCGAAUGGAAGAAUCCUCAACAGAGUAAGCAUCUAAUGUUUUUCCUGUAUGGAAACGAAAGAUUCAAUUUAUCUUCAUGUUUGUUGGCAUUUUUCCCCUUGUUUUUGAAGUAUUGUAAACUUUUUUGCUGCCUCUUAUAGGCUUCUACAGAUCAAAGUGCAGUGGAUACGGACAUCGCGUAUCAAGUUGCCGCAUUUGCUUUCUCAGUUAUCCAGCUACUUGGAAUCAUUGCAGUCAUGUCUCAAGUUGCUUGGCAGAUCUUUAUCAUUUUUAUUCCAGUGAUUGCUACCUGCAUUUGGUAUCAGGUAACUCUUGCUGAAUUGUGGCUAAGCAAUGCAUGAAAUCAUGAACUUCUUACAAAGCAGCAACAUACCUAAAAUCUCAAAUUUUCUACUUUGUAAAACUCAUUUAAUCAUUGCCUUAUUGCUGAACAAAGGAAUGCUCAUAAACUUGUAAUCUCGCAGCAAUAUUACAUAUCUUCUGCGCGAGAACUUUCGCGGCUGAUUGGAGUAUGCAAAGCUCCAGUAAUACAGAAUUUUGCUGAAACAAUUUUAGGAGCAACAACUAUAAGGAGCUUUGAUCAAGAGAAAAGGUUCCAAGACACAAACAUGGUGCUGACUGACUCGUAUUCUCGUCCAAAAUUCCAUGUUGCCGGUGCAAUGGAAUGGCUGUGCUUCUGCCUGGACUUACUGUCUUCUGUUACUUUUGCCUUCUCGUUAUUCUUUUUAAUCUCUAUACCGGAGGGAAUUAUCGAUCCCGGCAAGUAAAUGCAGAUUCAUAUUGGCAGCUUUAUUGACUACUAGAUAACAAAUGUUCUAGGAGAAUGACUGUAUGCUUUUUUCUUUUCUUUAGCUAUUGCCGGGUUAGCUGUGACGUAUGGACUCAAUCUAAAUAUGUUGCAAGCUUGGGUGGUAUGGAAUAUUUGCAAUAUGGAGAAUAAAAUUAUAUCUGUUGAGAGAAUACUUCAGUACUGUAGUAUUCCUAGUGAGCCUGCCCUUGUGGUGGAAACGAAUCGCCCAGACCAUUGUUGGCCGUACGACGGAGGAGUUCAUAUUCGUGAUUUGCAGGUAAGGGCAGUGUUGUGGUGUUCUAUGAUUUUGUUUCUAAUGGAUUGACCGUAUUAAAUAAACAAUGAUGGUCUCGAUGUAGGUACGAUAUGCCCCGCACAUGCCACUCGUGUUGCGAGGUCUGACCUGCACAUUUCCUGGAGGGUUGAAAACCGGUAUCGUAGGGAGAACAGGCAGUGGUAAAUCAACUCUCAUACAAACACUUUUCAGGAUCGUUGAACCUGCAGCAGGGCAGAUCAUAAUCGAUGGUGUAAACAUCUCAUCGAUCGGGUUGCAUGAUUUGCGUUCACGACUCAGCAUCAUCCCUCAAGAGCCUACCAUGUUUGAAGGGACUAUACGAAGCAACUUGGACCCUCUUGAAGAAUACACAGAUGAACAGAUUUGGGAGGUAGGUUCAUUUUAGUUAAACACUGUCUGUUAUGAUCGGCAAUUGAAGUCUAACAUCAAUCAAUAUUGUGUUUUAAAGGCAUUGGAUAAAUGCCAACUUGGGGAUGGAGUUCGAAACAAGGCCGGCCGGCUCGAUUCUUCAGGUUCGAUCCUUCUAUCUUAUAACACACAUGAGUUUGUCUUCUUUUGCAUAAAUUAUACUUAGUAUGAUUAUUGUUGUGCAGUUAGUGAGAAUGGAGAGAAUUGGAGCAUGGGGCAAAGGCAGUUGGUGUGCCUUGGGCGUGUUCUAUUGAAGAAAAGUAAGAUCUUAGUGCUCGACGAAGCUACCGCAUCGGUGGAUACAGCCACCGACAACCUAAUACAGACGACGUUAAGGGAGCACUUCUCCGAUUGUACGGUCAUAACAAUCGCUCACCGAAUAACUUCGGUUCUUGAUAGCGACAUGGUUCUGCUUCUAAGUCAUGGUUAGUAGUACAGUAUGCUCUGCUCAUUAAGAUGGAUUCUUGGAAGUUCAUUUCAUUUGAAUAGAAAAAAAAAACAUUUGUUUUUGCAGGACUUAUAGAAGAAUAUGAUGGUCCAUCAAGUUUGCUGGAAAACAAGUCUUCAUCAUUUGCACAGCUUGUAGCAGAGUACACUGUGAGAUCAAAUUCUGGUUUUUGAUAGAAACUGGAUUGAAUUAGACGAUGAUGAAAAUUUACUAGUGUUAGUAAUUAGUAAUGUUUUUAAUUUGUAAUUGUGGGUGUUUUUCAUUGUUUUGUGCCAUUUUCUUUGGCUCCCAAUAAACGAUUUUCCCUUUUUUUGUGGUCCAAUUGUUAUGUUUUAUGUUGCUAAAACUUUUCGUAUGUGUUCCAUACUUGUAUUAUACACAUGUAUAUAAACAUCAGGGCGAUAGCAGAAAAUUUUGUUAGAAUGGUCGAAAUUAAAUUGUAAUUUUUACGAUAGUAAAAAUAUAAUUUUAUUAUUUUAAUAGUCUAACAGGCUUUUCCAACAGCUUCUUGAAUCGGGUCAGUUCUUACGGGCCAAAUGAUCCCAUCUAACCAAUAAACCUCCAUCGGAUGCAUUUGGUGCGAUUGUCACGGGCUUUGAACUGCGGCUCGUGACACUAGCACCACCUAUAAAAAAUAAAAAUUUAAUAAAAAUAAAUAAAUUAAUAAAUUAAAAACAAUAUUUUAAUCUAAAAAUGGUGACCUAAAUAUUAGUCCAUUUAUUUUAAUUCAUCGUAAUUUGAUCUAUGUUUUUAAAUUUAAGAAGUUAGUUAAAUUAUUGAGUUUGUAUAUGGAUUUAAUAAAUGUUGGUCUUGUAGUAAGUAAUUUGAUGAUCAAGUUUAAUGAUAGUAAAUAAUUUUGCCUAACUUUUUAAAUUCAAAAACAUAGUAAAAUUAAAUUAUAAUAAAUUAAAAUACAUGGACUAACUUCUAAUUUUCAUAAAAUAGAAGUGUGGAAUUCAAAAUUAUACUACAACCACCCCAAAUUUAAAAAAACAAAAAACAAAGAGUUAGCACAUUGGGUCACUUUUUUAGAUUAAAAUAUUAUUUUUUAUAUUUAUUUUUAUUUAAAUAAAAUUUUUUAUAGCUAACACCACUUGACAGAUAACAAUAUUUAAUUUUACUAUAAAAUCUAUUAUUCUCAUAAAUAAUAUGCAACAUGCACAUUUUCGUAAUUAAAUUCUAUUUUUUUAUUCAUGUGUUUACCCCUUGGAAGACAAGUGUCUGGCUGCGGAGUCCCACGUUUUGCAUUGCAUGGUGUGCUGAGUUGCUGACGACCAUGUUUUUGGCCUUUCAUCUUUUUCUUUUCUUUUUUUUUUGAAUUACAAAAAUAAAGUAAAACCCAUUAGCGCGAUUCGAAUUUUAAAUAGUUAGAAAAGUAAAUAUUUUGACAAUAACACACAAGAUUUGGCAUUUUUUGUUCUUUGAUCACCCUCCACCAAGUGACAUAUAAUAUGAAUAUGAGUCAACAACAUAAACAAUCGUUGAAAAGUGUUCAACUUAGUCCUCAAAGUAUGACUUGCAUUUCAAAUUCAUCUCUAAAGUUUAAAUUGUUUUAAUUAAGUCACAAAAAUAUCAAUAUCAUAUCUAUUAAAUUAUUCCAUUAAAUCACUCAUUAACUUCAACAUUAAAGGUAGCUCAAAUCUAGCAGCAGUAUAUUAAAACCCCAUAGGUCAAAUUAUAAAACCUUGAAUCUAUAUAUUAAAAAAAAAGUAAUUCUAUUAUAUUUUAUUGAUGAUUUUUAAAAAAACAAUUAGAUGUAGGCUAUUCAUGCUAUAAUUAUAUAUGCAUUUAAAAUUUUAUAAAAAUAUUUUAAAUACAUUUCUAAGUGUUCGAACCCCUCGAUAGGUUGAUAUUGUUCUUGAAUUAAGGUUUUGUGUCUCGACCUUGAAAAAAGCUCAAGUCAAAAAUGAGAUUCAUAGAGCGAGAGCACCUUGUUGAAUUAUGCAGAGAUGAUAGCAUGUGUCCUUAAAUCCCAUAUGAGGGGCAAGGGUUCAAACUGUCAGUUUUUUAUAUUUUCAAUGUGUACGUACAUUUAAUUUUGUUUUUUUACUUUUUUACAUAAUGACGCCACGUGAUAUUUAAUGUCUACAAAAAAAAAAUAGACUAAAAAAAUAUAAGAGAGGCACACUUUAGAAACCAAGUUGGAAAUUUGAGUAUACUUUAAUACCAAAUUUGGACCAAAAAAAUUUAGAUACCAAAAUAAGAAAAUAGGUAUACUUUAAAAGUCAAACCGUGAAUUAAACCAAUAAAGUUGGCUUUUUAUUUCAUUAUGCAAAGGACUGUGAGGCUUUCAUUUGGAAGCCAAGGCAUCGUAAGUAGACUGUCAACUUUUAAUCCAAAUUUUUAACUGCUAUGCUACUUUUUAAGGCACCAUUUGGACGAAGAAACAGUAAAUCACAAGGCAAUGCUGUUGGUUGAUAAGUCAUUCAUUUGCACAUAAAAGAGCCAAGACCAAGAGGAAUAUUUUUCUGCUUAGGCAGAAAUAGAACAUUAUGUUUCUUGUUUCUACCAUUUAAUAACACUUAACUUCGCAGUUUCUUUGUUUGUCAGUGAAAUGAGGCUACUGAAUGGCAAAAUUAAUCAAGUGCAAGCUCUCUCUUGGAGCCUUUAUGCAUUAUGAGCUCUAAAUCUGAUCAGUCAUUUUGGUUUUUUUCCCCUAAGAGACCAAAAUCAUCAGACAAAAGGACUUGGUGGGUUGCAUCAGUACCUGAUGUUGUUUAUGCCUAACUGUCCAAUUCUCUAAUGAAGAGGGGUAAGGUAAUGCAUGUAAAGAGGUACAGUGGAAAUGUACUGCAGCCAUAGGUAUGCAUUUUUCUGCCUUCUGUUCAAUCAUAUUCUCUGUUAAAAAAAAUUGGAAUAUAUAAGCUUGUUAUCAAUGUCAAUCAUUUUAAGCUUGUGUUAUUGUUCAUGAUCAUCUUUCAUUUUAUCUAAUACAUAAACGUUAUCUUUAGUUGUUUCAUUUGCCGCAGGUCUUGACUUGAAUUUCACCAUCAUGUAUUAUUCUUUUUUCCUCUGUCAUUUCAUUAGUAUUUGACUUAAAUUUAUCACUUGUAUUUUUAGAGCAAAUUUAUCACAUGCUUUUUGUCAUAAAAUUCAUGCUAGUUUGCAUGUUAUUCACAGAUUGGAUUGAGAACAGGAUCAUGAUAUGGAAUUACAGCAUGUAUGUUAUUUAAUCAGAUAUCCGUCUUGCAGCUGUUGAUUAAAGGUUAGUUAAGCUUGCAACUUCAAAAUAGCUCGCGGACCUACGCUCCCAACUGAUAUUAUAAAGGCUCGCCAGUUUAAGAUCCCAGCCUUCAAGACAGCUCUCGAACCUACAUUCCCAACUGAUAUUAUAAAGGCUCACCAGUUUAAGAUCGUAGCCUCCAAAACAACUCACGGACCUACGCUCCCAGCUAAUAUUAUAAAGGCUCGCUGGUUUAAGAUCGCAACCUCCAAAACAACACUCCCAGUUGAUAUUAUAAAGACUCGCCGAUCUAAGAUCGCAGCCUCCAAAACAGCUCGCGGACCUACGUUCCCAAUUGAUAUUAUAAAGGCUCGUUGGUUUAAGGCUCCAAAACAGCUCACGGACCUACGUUCCCAGCUAAUAUUAUAAAGGCUAACCGGUUUAAGAUCGUAACCUCCAAAGCAGCUCGCAAACCUGCGUUCUUAGCUGAUAUUAUAAAGGUUAGUUGAUUUAGGAUCGCAGCCUCCGAACAGUUCGCUGAUUUAAAAUCACAACUGGUAUCGAACAAUUUUCUCUGAGUCCGCUGAUUUACAAAUUCUUACGGGAAAUACAGUUUGCGGUAUUCUGCAUUACAAUUUUUGACUCUUGUUCCGCACUAUCGGCCAACAAAAUUUGUUCAAUAAGGUUUCAAGUUAAAACUUAUAUAGUAAGCCCUAAAUUACGCACAUCAUAAGUGUAAACUUGUUUCAGAAGAGUCACUUUAUAACUCUUCUUCGACAAGAUGAGGAAUAAAUUAUUAUAUUAAUAAUAAAAAUAACUAGACCCGGAAUCCAACUCCAUUACCCGACCUAUAUAAUAAAAUUCUAAGGCACGGUACUAAGGGGGGCUUCCUCGUCCUCUCUGCUUCUGGUUCUCUGCUCUUAGAGAAUUAAACCACUCAACCCUAUCUCUUUUCACAAUCAUUGAUCCAGUGCAUCAACACCUUUUACUAAAUAAAUUAUCACUUAAAAUUGCGUCCAUCAUGUUACCAAUUAUUUGUGAUUUAUUAUCGAAUCAUAUAAAAUUGCAUAUGACUUACUUAAUUACGCAUAUAUCUAUUUGAAUAUUUAACUCAAUCACAUAAAUUAUAUGGAAAUUUUUAAUCGAUUUGAUUUGACUCGAACUGAUACUUAUCUUUUAUUUUUAUUUUUUUUACAUUAGAUCGAGUUCAAUAUGAACCCUAAUUUGUGAAGCUGGAAGGUGAGUUUUGUUUACCUGAUAUCUAUCCUUCCAGUGGAGUGAUUAAGAAGAUGAGCAAAACGACAGUAGAGGUGCUCAUGGGCAGGGAGGCCCGGCCAAACGGCCCGCCCGAAAUAUGAGAGGUUUUGGGUAAAAAUAUAGGCCCGAAAUAUGGGCUUGGGCAAAAAAUGAGGCCCGUUUAGAAAAUGGGCCGGGCCUCGGGCACCACUUUUUUGGCCCGGGCCUGGCCCGGCCUGGCCCGAAUAUAAUAAAUAUAUAUUUUUAUUUUUAUUUUAAAAUAUUUAAAAAUAUUUUUAUUUUAAAUAUUUUUUUAAUUUUCUAAAUUUUUUUGGUGUUUAUUAAAAAUGGGCCGGGUUGGGCUAGGCCUGGGCUUAGGAAUUUUUCUCCGGGCCGGGCUUGGACAAAAUUUUAGGCCCAUAUUUUGGGUCGGGCCCAUCCUAGGACACGGGCAAAAAUUUUUUAUGGGCCCAUCCCGAACCUGGCCCGGCUUGGCCUGGCCCAUGAGCACCUCUAAACGACAGUGUCCUUGAGAACAUGGUUAAUGAGCACAAAAAGAAAAAGAUGAAGAUGAAGGAUGCUACUGGCAACGAUAAAUAAGAUUUGAUUGAUAUUUUACUUAAGAUUUAGUAAUAACGAGAUAUUGAGUUUUCAAUGGAGAAUGAUAACAUAAAAGCAAUCAUUCGUGUUAAUCAAAUUUAUGUUUGAUAUAUUGACCACGAACAAUUUUAUAUACGAUUAAUAAAUUAAAUGAUGACACAUCAUUUGAAAUGAAAAAAAAUAGAUUUAAUUUUACUAAUUUUAAAUGAUGAAUUUUCAUUUGAUAUAUUGACAGUAUAAUUAACAAUGAAUUUAAACUUCCAUUUCCAAUUCAUUAUAAUUUUAUUAUUAUAGGUCAAAUUUAAUUCUGAUGUUUGGAAAUUUUAAAUUUAUUUUUUACAUAAUUUAAUAAUCAUCCUAUUUUGUAAUAUUAUUAACUAGAAUUAUUUCUAUCUAAAGUAAUUGGUACUAUUUACCGUAUAAAAAAUAUUUUGAAAAUUAUUUUUUCAAUUAUAGUUAAAUUCCAAACAAAAGAUUUCAUUUACAGAACAAUAAAAAAUUUAAAAAUAUUAAUUCUGUUAAAUAGUAAAUGUUAACUUAUUCCAAUUUAGUCUUAUUUAAUUAUUUUAAUAAUACAUGGACUAAAUUAAUUCAUUUCAUAAUAGAAGGUCGAAUUUUAUUAUAUUCUUAUAAUAGAGGGACCAUUCAAGUACAUUCACAUUUUUUUNNNNNNNNNNNNNNNNNNNNNNNNNNNNNNNNNNNNNNNNNNNNNNNNNNNNNNNNNNNNNNNNNNNNNNNNNNNNNNNNNNNNNNNNNNNNNNNNNNNNCUGUUAAAAUAAAUGAAACUUCAAUCAAAUUAAAGUUUUUAUACGAUAAUCAAAUGCUUAAGGAUAUAUUUUUUUAAAUAAUUGCCUCGACAUUUUAAUAAAAUAGUUAAUAAUAUUAUGUGUUUAAACUAAUUAGUAACAUUAUAAAAUAUUAUGAAAUUAAAAUCAAAUCCGGAAUUAAUCACAACCAUGACCUAUUAUUAUAUGAUUAAAUGAUCUCCAAACUUGAAGUUUAAUGACAUUUUUGGAAUAGGGGUGAAUAAAAUUCGAAAAAAUCAAAAAAAAAUUGAAUCUCAAGUUAAUCGAAUCGAGUUAUUCGNNNNNNNNNNNNNNNNNNNNNNNNNNNNNNNNNNNNNNNNNNNNNNNNNNNNNNNNNNNNNNNNNNNNNNNNNNNNNNNNNNNNNNNNNNNNNNNNNNNNNNNNNNNNNNNNNNNNNNNNNNNNNNNNNNNNNNNNNNNNNNNNNNNNNNNNNNNNNNNNNNNNNNNNNNNNNNNNNNNNNNNNNNNNNNNNNNNNNNNNNNNNNNNNNNNNNNNNNNNNNNNNNNNNNNNNNNNNNNNNNNNNNNNNNNNNNNNNNNNNNNNNNNNNNNNNNNNNNNNNNNNNNNNNNNNNNNNNNNNNNNNNNNNNNNNNNNNNNNNNNNNNNNNNNNNNNNNNNNNNNNNNNNNNNNNNNNNNNCAAUUUUAUGUGCUCUAACAUGGAAUUAGUUAUAUUGUAAUAAGAUUUUAAUUUGACAUGUUUAAUUUUUUUAAUUUAAUUUGAAUAAUUUCACUCGAUUUGACUCGACUCGAUUCGAAAAAAUUUCAAAUUGAGUUAGGAUGCUAAAAUAGAACUCGUCAACUCAAUUAAUUUAAAAAAAUUACACUCAAUUCAAUUGAAUGCUGACCCUUACUUUGAAACAGAAAGUGAGACAUGAUACAGCAACAUUACACUGGGCCAUGUCUGAAAUAGUGAAAAACUCUCAUGUAAUGAAAAUGGCCAAGUAACUAAAGCAAGGAUCCACCGUGCGUCGUCAAACAGCCACCACCGUUAUACUCCCAUCUACUACCACCAAAGAAAGCAAAUCAAGCAAAAAAAAUCAUCAAAGAAAAAUACCCACGAAAAUAAAAAAAAGGGAGCAAGCAAAGAAGAAAAUAGGGAGAAAAGGAGAGCUCCACCGCACGUCGCCGUCGUCGGCCGUUGCACCGCAGACGGAGGAAGCACCUGCAGCAGCAGAGAAAUCGGGGGGGUGAUCGGGGAGGAAGAAAGAAAGGAAGAAAGAAAAAAAAAAGAAAAAGAGAAAGAAAGAAGAAAGAAGAAGAAGAAGAAAGAAAAAGAAGAAAAAAAUAAAAUAAAAAAUAAAAAAAUUUCAACAGUCGGGUCAAACCGACCCGACCCGACCCGAAUCGGCCGACCCGACUAACGACCCGACCCGACCCAACAGCUUCAGGCCCAGCUGUAGUAGGCUAGCCCAAAAAAAAAAACAAAAUAGAAAAAGAAGCAGCAGAAAAAAAGAAAGAAAGAAGCAGAAAAAAGAAGAAAGAAGCAGGCCAUUUUUGGGCAGCCCAGCAGGCCCAUUUGCGCAGCAGCCCAGCAGGCCCCAGGCCCACCAGCAGCAACAGCAGGCCCGGCCCGCAUGCACCAGCCCAGCAGGCCCAAAAGAAGCAGGGCAAAAAAAAAAGAGAAGAAAAAAAGGGAAGAAAAAAGAAAAAAAGAAGUUCAAUUUGUAGGACCCGUUCGACGAAAUUCGUGUUUCAAGAUCUUUUCGGUAAUUUCAUUUUUCAAUUUUAAUUUAAUGCUCGAAUUUUUUUUUGUUUUAAUAAUAUUAGUAUUUUGUGCAUUUUUAUAUUUUUGUAUUUAUAUUUUAAAUUUUAAAUUUUAAAAUUUAAAUUUAAUUCAAUUUUAAUUUUAAUUUUAAUUUAUUUUGAAUACUUUUAAUAAAUAAGGCAACGAAUCGAUUUAACAUGAACUCGUUGAUUUCAUCGCUAUGUUGGGUGAAUAUCACCGGUUCGCGUUAAAAUCGAUACGCCCUUUUAAAAAUUGAAAAUAUUCAAAAAAAAAAUCUCAUGGUUUCAAAAAAUUUCUAUCUUUCAAAAUUUUUCGUGUCUUCAAAAAAUUUUUCUCGUGUUUCAAAAAAAAAUAUUCGUGUUUUCAAAAAUAAGGCAACGAAUCGAUUGACACUAAUUUGUUGAUUUCAUUGCUAUGUUGAGUGAAUACUAUCGGUUCGUGUUAAAUACGAUACUUGCUUAAUAAAAAAUCGAAAAGUUUGUGUAAAAAAAAUUUCCCGUGUUUCAAAAAUUUUCUUGUUUUAAAAAAUUCUCGUGUUUUCAAAAAUUUCAGUGUUUCAAAAAUUCCCGUGUUUUAAAAAUUUCUGUGUUUUCAAAAAUUUUCGUAUUUUCAAAAAAAAAUUCGUGUUUCAAAAAUCCACGUGUUUUCAAAAAUUUCGGUGUUUCAAAAAUCUUCGUGUUUUCAAAAAUUCCGGUGAUUCAAAAUUUUCGUGUUUUCUAAAAAUUUCUGUGCUUCAAAAAAAUUUCGAUUUCACAAAUGUCUGUGUUUUCAAUGACUCUAGUGUUUCACAAAUUGUCAUGUUUUUUUUUUUAAUUUGCGUUUUGAAAAAUUCUCGUGUUUCAAAAAUUGUCGUGUUUUAAAAAAAUUUUCGUGUUUCUAAAAUUUUCAUGUUCAAAAAUUUCGUUUUUUUUAAACAAAAAAAAAAUUUGUGCUUCAAAAUUCUCGUGUUUUAAAAUUUUUUUUCCAUAUUUCAAUCGGAUUACAAUUAAAUAUUAAAUUAAACUUGCAUUUUGAAAAUUAUAACAACAUGCGUUUAACAAGAUACCAAUUUUGGCCGUCGCGAGGGUGCUAAUACCUUCCUCGCGCGUAACCGACCCCCGAACUCGAAUUUUCUCUGGAUUUUUACGUAGACCUAAAAUUACCUCUUUUUUAGAAAAGUUUAAAAAUAAAAUUUUCUUCUAAAAAGAUAAUUUUAUUAGGUGUCCGAUCACACCUAGGAAAAAAGAUCGGUGGCGACUCAUUUUUCAAAUAAAAUCACGACACUGUUUUCAAAUUUUCAAUAAUUACUUCGACUAGCGCCCAUACCGAAAUUUUUAGGUCGCUACAUAACUCAAUCACAUAAAUUAUAUGGAAAUUUUUAAUCGAUUUGAUUUGACUCGAACUGAUACUUAUCUUUUAUUUUUAUUUUUUUUACCUUAGAUCGAGUUCAAUAUGAACCCUAAUUUGUGAAGCUAGAAGGUGAGUUUUGUUUACCUGAUAUCUAUCCUUCCAGUGGAGUGAUUAAGAAGAUGAGCACAACGACAGUAGAGGUGCUCAUGGGCAGGGAGGCCCGGCCCGACGGCCCGCCCGAAAUAUGGGAGGGUUUGGGUAAAAAUAUAGGCCCGAAAUAUGGGCUUGGGCAAAAAAAUGAGGCCCGUUUAGAAAAUGGGCCGGGCCUCGGGCACCACUUUUUUGGCCCGGGCCUGGCCCGAAUAUAAUAAAUAUUUAUUUUUUAUUUUUAAAAAUAUUUAAAAAUAUUUUUUAUUUUUUAUUUUUAAAAUAUUUUUAAAAUAAGUUUUUUAAUUUUCUAAAAUUUUUUUGGUGUUUAUUAAAAAUGGGCCGGGUUGGGCUAGGCCUGGGCUUAGGAAUUUUUCCCCGGGCUGGGCGUGGAUAAAAUUUCAGGCCCAUAUUUCGGGUCGGGCCCAUCCUAGAACACGGGCCAAAAUUUUUUAUGGGCCCAUCCCGAACCUGGCCCGGCCCAGCCUGGCCCAUGAGCACAUCUAAACGACAGGGUCCUUGAGAACAUGGUUAAUGAGCACAAAAAGAAGAAAGAUAAAGAUGAAGGAUGCUACUGGCAACGAUAAAUAAGAUUUGAUUGAUAUUUCACUUAAGAUUUAGUAAUAACGAGAUAUUGAGUUUUCAAUAGAGAAUGAUAACAUAAAAGCAAUCAUUCGUGUUAAUCAAAUUUAUUUUUGAUAUAUUGACCACGAACAAUUUUAUAUACGAUUAAUAAAUUAAAUGAUGACACAUCAUUUGAAAUGAAAAAAAAUAGAUUUAAUUUUACUAAUUUUAAAUGAUGAAUUUUCAUUUGAUAUAUUGACAGUAUAAUUAACAAUGAAUUUAAACUUCCAUUUCCAAUUCAUUAUAAUUUUAUUAUUAUAGGUCAAAUUUAAUUUUGAUGUUUGGAAAUUUUAAAUUUAUUUUUUACAUAAUUUAAUAAUCAUCCUAUUUUGUAAUAUUAUUAACUAGAAUUAUUUCUAUCUAUAGUAAUUGGUACUAUUUACCGUAUAAAAAAUGUCUUGAAAAUUAUUUUUUUAAUUAUAGUUAAAUUCCAAACAAAAGAUUUCAUUUAUAGAACAAUAAAAAAUUUAAAAAUAUUAAUUCUGUUAAAUAGUAAAUGUUAACUUAUUCCAAUUUAGUCUUAUUUAAUUAUUUUAAUAAUACAUGGACUAAAUUAAUUCAUUUCAUAAUAGAAGGUCGAAUUUUAUUAAAUUCUUAUAAUAGAGGGACCAUUCAAGUACAUUCACAUUUUUUUUCCCUCUAUUCGAGCCCUGUUAAAAUAAAUGAAACUUCAAUCAAAUUAAAGUUUUUAUACGAUAAUCAGAUGCUUAAGGAUAUAUUUUUUAAAAUAAUUGCCUCGACAUUUUAAUAAAAUAGUUAAUAAUAUUAUGUGUUUAAACUAAUUAGUAACAUUAUAAAAUAUUAUGAAAUUAAAAUCAAAUCCGGAAUUAAUCACAACCUUGACCUAUUAUUAUAUGAUUAAUUGAUCUCCAAACUUGAAGUUUAAUGACAUUUUUGGAAUAGGGGUGAAUAAAAUUCGAAAAAAAAAAAUUGAAUCUCAAGUUAAUCGAAUCGAGUUAUUCGAAUUAUUUGAGUUUCGAGAUCAAAUCGAAUUAAAUUUUACAAUUUGAAUUACAUGAAUAAUUCGAAUAAUAGAUUGGUAUAAAUACUUUUUGGUCCCUGUCAAGCUUGAAAAUGAGCAAAUCGAUCUCUCUCAACAAAAAUUACAAAAAAAAAUCAAAAUAAUUUUCAAAAUUUUUAAAUAUUUUUAAAUAUUUUUAAAAUUUUCAAAAAAAAUAUAUAUGUAAAAAAUAUAUAAAGAAAUUUAAAAAUUAAAAAUUUUCUAGAAUAAUAAUUUUUGGAUCUAAAUAAGUUAAUUAAUUAUUCAAAUUUAUCAUACUAAAGUAUUUUAUUAUUAUUUUGCUUCGAAUUUUUUUUCAAAUAUUUAUUGUUUCAAAUUUAUGUGCUCUAACAUGGAAUUAGUUAUAUCGUAAUAAGAUUUUAAUUUGACAUGUUUAAUUUUUUUAAUUUAAUUUGAAUAAUUUCACUCGAUUUGACUCGACUCGAUUCGAAAAAAUUUCAAAUUGAGUUAGGAUUUUAAAAUAGAACUCGUCAACUCAAUUAAUUUAAAAAAAUUACACUCAAUUCAAUUGAAUGCUGACCCUUACUUUGAAACAGAAAGUGAGACAUGAUGCAGCAACAUUACACUGGGCCAUGUCUGAAAUAGUGAAAAACUCUCAUGUAAUGAAAAUGGCCAAGUAACUAAAGCAAGGAUCCAUGAGCUGAAAUUCUGGAGAUCAAUAGUGAAAGAAACCUUAAGGCUACACCCACCUGUUCCUUUGAACAUCAGACAAAACAUUGAGAACUGUGCGUAGGAGUGAGUAAAAUUCGAUUCGAUUCGAAAAACUUAAUGAAAAAUUUAAAUUUUGAAUUAAAUAGUUCGAGUUAUUUGAGUUAAUCAAGUUAUUCGGAUUAACUCGAAUAAAAAUUAAGUUUUUUGGUUUAACUCGAAUAUGAAUUACACAAUUCGAGUUAUCCGAAAAUCCGAAUAAGAAAAGACAAAACUACGUUGUUUUGAUAAAUGUUUAUUUUUUAAAAGUUAAAAUUCAAAAUAAUUAAGUUAAAAGGCAAAGCUACAUUGUUUUGAUAAAUGUUUACCCAUUAAGUUAAAAGGUAAAAUCAUUAUAUUGUUCAUGUAGUUAAAUAAUCUUGUAAAUUUAUCUACUAGUUAAAUAGCCGGUCCAUCUAAACGUAACAUUAAGUAUAAAUAAUAGGAUUCGUUAACUCGACCCGAUUUGACUCGAUUCGAUUCGAUUCGAUUCGAAAAAAUUUUAAAUUGAGUUCGGUUGCUAAAAUAGAAUUUAUCAACUCGACUAAUUCAAAAAAUUUGUACUCGAUUUGACUCGACUUGAUCGAAUACUCACCCUUAACUGUGUAAUCAAUGUCUAUGCCAUCCCUUCAAAGUCCAAUGUUCUCAUUUAAUGCAUGGGCCGUAUAAAGGAUCCUUGUUGUUGGGGAAAAGGUGAAGUGUUUUGGGUGAGAGCAGCUCUAUUGGUGGUUUUAAUGGAGGAAAGCUUGAGUACAUGUAUAUGUAUAUGCCAUUUGGUGGUGGGGAAGCCAAAAAAAUUUGUUUGAAUGAGUAAAAAAUUUGUUAGAAGGAAGAAUGAUUUGGUCGUAUUCUCGUACCUUAUUCUUUUUCAUCCAACUAAUAGGGUUCUCUAGAGGUUUUUGUAUUAGCAUGGAAUGCAUUUUUAGUUUCUACAAGUAAAAUAUUCUCUUACGCUAGAAAUACAUGCAAAAUGAUCAUUUAUAUAACAAUUGAAGGGAAAAAAGCAGUUAGUUUUAUGAGGUGGAAUUAAUUAAAUGAUGUGGUAUUAAUUUAAGUUAUGACGUGAGUUGUUCACUUUUAUCUUUUGUACCUUAAUUCAUUUUGAAUGUAACAAACUCAAAGUGCUUACUUCAAACUAUUAAAAGUAAAAGAAGCCAUUUGCUUUAUCUAAACUUAAGUAUUGUAAAAUCUCCUUAGGAAUCUCCUAAAAAAAUUGGACACCUUCCUUAUUACCAGAAAUCAAUUUGGCGAUCCCAUCGGCAACUUGAUUAUUCUUCCCGGGAACAUACCUAAAAAACCACAAUCUUCCAUUUUUCAAUAUAUGUUUGGUUCUUCUAACCAAGACUGAAUUUGCAUCCGUUGAUUGCCUAUAUUCAAUGACUUUAAUCAUUUUCAUGCUAUCCGUAUGAAUCAACACUCUCUCAAAUCUUCAUUUGUUUAAAAUAGUUAACCAAUCCAGAAUACACAUCCCUUAAGUAAUGGUUAUAACCAAGAAUCUAAUCCCCAACCUAAUUUCACAACACUCUCCCGACCAAUUCAUAUUCCCCAAUUUCAUAUCUUAUUCAUCGAUUAAAUACAUCCAGCUACAAUUGAGUAAAUGAAUAUGCCACCUCAUAUAUUAAAUUUAUGUUGUAUCAUUUAAUUGAGUUAAUCUCAUAAAAUUAACAACUUUUUUUCAACUAUUACCAAAAAUAUGAUCUUGUUAAUUUAUCUACCUACAAGGAUCUUUAUGUUUAUUUUUAAAAGUAUAAAAACUAAAUGCAUUCUUCAUUAUGGUACAGGGACCGAUAUAGUAUUUUUACCAAUAAUUCCCUAAUGGAAAAUUGGAAAUUUGCUUGGUUGUAUAUUAAUUAAUAAAAUCAAAAAAAAAAAAAGAAGUCAUUUGUGAAUCCAAGGCUUGGUUCAGAAUCGAAUCUCAACAUUGUAUCUCCAUAUUUUUAUUUUUAUUUCUUUGUCCCCCGAUUUAUUUGCAUUUCAGCAUUUGCAGGGACUUCCAUUUCUAAAUAAUUGUUGUUGGAAACUGAAAAUUGGAUCAAUUAAACUACUAAUAUAUCCUUCUUUCGUUGAUCCCAAAGCAAAGAUGCUUUUCAACCAAGGUUGACUGCGCUAAAUGUUUUUAAGUUUUAAAAUAUUAUAGUUGAGUCCUUAAAAUAUUAGUAUUACAUCAAUUACGUCCUUAUGCCAAUUUAGCUUAUCAGCAUGGGUUGCAAGGGCAACAUUAGAGGAGGACAAGCAGGGCCUUGGUCCCUCCAAAGUGAAAAAUUGCUCUUUUAUUUCCUUUAAAAACAAUAAAAUUUUAAAUUAAUUUAAUUGUAAAAUUUCAUGACCCUUCUAAAAUUUAAAAUUGAAUUGUUUAUAGUUUAAUUUCUCAAGAUAUUGUAAAAUUUUAUGUUUAUAUAGUGAUAAAUUUACAUUUUAGCUCUCUCAACAAUUUAUAAUCCAAAUUCAGCCCUCCCCCAGGAAAUUAUUUCUAGCUUCGUCAUUGCUUGGUCAAAUUAUAAACAUAUGUUUAACAUCAUCUUUGGUAUGACGUGUAACAAAAAAAAAAGCCCUCUUAAAUUUUAAUGUUAUUUUUUAAAAUACGUCAAAUAUGAACCGAUAUUGAUGGUUAAACCGGCGAAAAGACCUAAUUAAUAUAAUACUAGCAUUUUGAAGAUUAGGUUAAAACAUUUUGAAAUGUAGGACCAAUUUAAAAUCUCAAGAUAAAUUGGGGGAUAGUUUAGUGAAUUGAACAAUUUCAACUAUUCCAAGCUUGCUUUGGUGGUUGGAGCAGGCAGUCCGCAGUAGCAUCUUUGGUUUCAUCAACUGCAAAAUUUGUUGACUAUUUAAUUUGUUUGGAAAAUUAAACGCCCACUUUUUACAAGGAGAUUUAUUUAACAGCUAGUCAUAGUUUUGCUUGGUAGCGUAGAAAAUAGGAAACUACAACUUCAUUUUUAUUUUUCAAUUUUAUUCUAAAAUUAUUGACACGUUUGGUUAACUGUAAUAGAAUAGGACUGUAAUCGGUAAUUCAAUUAUUUGGUUGAAUGAAAUGGAAUAAUAUUCUUGCGUUAGGUUAAUUGGAAUGGAAUAGUAUUCUUGUGUUUGGUUGAAUAGAAUAAAUAUUGUAAUAGCAUAAGAAAAAAUACUGAAAUAAUCAGAGUACCCUUAGCAGAAUUUUUGUAAGGUAGAUAAUUAUGGUUUUUGUUAUUAAAUUUUAAUAGCAUUAUUAUUAAAUAUAAUUUAAUAAUCUUCUUAAUAUGAUUGUUUUUAUAUUAAAUUAUUUCAAAUAUUUUAUUUUUAUAUUUUUUGAGUCCAAGUUUUAAUUAUUAACGUUUAUAUUUUUUUUGUUAAUAUAACUUUUUUUAAUUAAAUUUAGCUCUUAAGUUAAAUUUAAUUAUUAAUCUUUUGAAAAAGAGUUAAAUUAAUUUUUUAAUAAAAAUUUUAAUUAAAAAUUUUAAAUUUUAAAUACGGCAACUUUCGUAGUAGUCAAAGAGCAUUUCAUGCUUCUUCUUUUUAAUUUUUAUGAAAGUUUUAUAAUAUUUUUGAGUUGAGUUUUUUUUUUUGAAUUUUUAUAAUUUUAAAUUAUUUAUUGGCGUGGUAUAUAAGAUAAUUAUUAUCAUGUCAGAUUGUUCACGUGGAUUGACACGCGGAUUGUCGUGUCAAUUUCAUUAAAAAGUUAAUGUUUUAGUCAACGUAAUUUUAAAGAAAAGUAAUUUAACUCUUGUUAAAGGUUUAAUGCUCAAAUUUAGUUAAAAAAAAGUAAGAGUUGAAUUGACAAAAAAUACAAACAUUGAGGACUAAAUUCGUUAUUAUGCUUUUUUAACCAAAGAAUCCUUAUUCAGGGUCAAUAGAAAUGAGAGUUUAGAACUAUUAAUGGGUUGGCAAAUUUAUAAAAUAUUUUAUAUUUAUAUUUAUAUAUUUUUAUAAUAAAUUAAAUUUUAAAAAUAUUUUUUAUUUAAAUUAAAUUUGGGUUAAAUCAAGUUGGCUUGAAAAAUAAAAAUCUACGUUUAAGUCCGAAUCUAGUCAUGUCAGGCCUAUCGGAUCGGGUGAGCUUCCUGACCCAUAAAUAGGUCUAAUGAGAGUUAAUUGAGCUUCGUUCUCUCCAAAUUUUUGAAAAAGAUUAUUAAAACUUAAUAUUUAAUUAAAUUUGCAUGUUGGUUUUAAGGUUUAUACCUUCAUAUAUAUAUAUAUUCAUGAUAAAAUGCCAUGAAAGGCAAGUAAUCUUUUAAGAUUAUUACAUAAAUCCCAUACGUUAAAAGUAAUAAAUUAUGUCAUUAAUUAUAUAUUAUCCAUAUAAAAAGAAAGGUCCUUUGGAUUUUCCUUGGUUCACACGUGAAUUGACUUCCUCUUUUGUUUCUUCUUUUUCUUUUUUGCAGUAUGUAGUAAAAUAGUCAAUUUUAAUAGAAGAUUUUAAUCACCUUAAUAAUUAGAUUUGAAAUUUUAAAAUUUAAAAAUAAAGUGAUUAAAUUUCUAAAAAUAAAAAUAUAAAGAUUAAAUUACAAAUAUACAAAUAGUACAAUAACUUAACUAUAUUUUUAAUAUUUACUUUAUAAUUUAAUUGAAAAUACUUAAUAGUUAACCGAACAUGAAGCACGAUAAAAUAUGUAUUAGUUAGUAUUAAGGGUUUUUACUUAGACAAUAUAAAAAAAAUACGAAAAUGUGAUAUGUUGUAAAUGACAUAUUUUCUACCAUAAAAUUAGGUGUUUGUCAGGCACACCACCUAUAAAAUAUAAUAUUUUAAUAAAAUAGAUAAAGUAAUAAAUUAAAAACAAUACUUUAAUCUAAAAAAGGGUGACGCCAAAAGUCAUGCGAUACCCAUUUUUCUUAUUGACUUUUUACCCUUCUUUUUUAAUUUGGGUUGGUUGUGGUAUGAUUUUGAAUUUCAUACCUCUAUUUUAUGGAAAUUAGAAAUAAGUCCAUUUAUUUUAAUUUAUUAUAAUUUAAUCUUUGUAGGUUUUCGAAUUUGACUAACUUUUUUAAUUCGAAAACUUACAAAGACUAAAUUCUGAUAAAUUCAAAUAAUAGUUAAAAUCGAAAAUUUAGAUUAAAUUAUGAUAAAUUAAAAGAAACAGACAAACUUCUAAUUUUCAUAAAAUAAAAGAUAUAAAAUUUAAAAAUAUGCCACAAUCACCCUAAAUUAAAAAAAUGAAAAAAAUAGGAAAAGGAGUGCGGCCGGAUAUUUUGGGUCACCCCUUUUUUUAGAUUAAUUUUUAAAUUUAUUUUUAUUGAAAUAUUAUUUUUUAUAAGUAAUAAGAUAUUAUUCUCCUAGGUAAUUUACAUAUUUUCGUAAUUAAUUAAGUUUUAUUAAAGACACUUUUCCAGUGUAAGCCCAUUUCUUUAUUCAUGUGUUUACUCCUUGGAAGACAAGUUUCUGACUACAGAAUCCCCAAGUUGCUGACGACCAUGUUUUUGGUCUUUCUCUCCACCAAACGGCAUAUAAUGUGAUUGUGAGUCAGCAGCAUAAACCAUCGUUGAAAAAUGUUCAAUUCAGUUCUCAAACUAUGACAUGCAUUUCAAAUUCAUCUCCAAAGUCCAAAUUAUAAACACUUGAAUCUACGUAUUAGAAAAAGUAAUUCUCUUAAAAUUUAUUGAUUUUCUUUUUAGAAACACAUUAAAUGUAAGCUAUUCAAUCUAUAGUUACAUAGGUUUUUACAAUUUGAUAAAAAUAUUUUAAAUAUAUUUUAUGUCAUGAAUAAAUAUUUAUUAUUUAAAGUGACAACUACACAGGCAAAAGAAUCUUAUUGUGAUAAUCUGAGAACCCAGUAACUAUUUGAGGUAUGUGGAUCAAUUUGAAAUUUUAGCACUAAUUUAGGAAUAUUAGUUGAAAUUAAGUCCUUCGAUCUGUCCCCAGUUCCUGCUGAUUAGUAUUUUGUUAUUUGUGGAAAACUGACAAUAAAGUAAAAAACAGACUUUGGUAAUUGAUGCUAUAGUUUAUAUUUUCAGAGUCAAAAAUCACGUCUUUUCCCGAAGGCCACUCCAGUCUCCAACUUCCUUCUUUACAUCCUUUUCUGAGGUUCAGUGCCUUUCCCUUCUGCUCUCUCCGCUUCCAAUCUUGCUCUCCACGCAUUUCUCUUCUCCAAGUAUUUUUCUUGGUCUUUCUUUUUUAGUCUUAUUUAUAUAUAAACACAAAGCCUGAAGCCUUCAAACACUUGAAACCAAUCAAAACUUGUAUCCAAACACACAAAACCCAAGUUUUUUCUUCAGCCAAAGCUCCAAAAAAGAUGGAACUUUUUGCUUCACAAUCAUCUUUACUACUGAGUUCAGCUACUAGUUUUGAUUUUCUACUAAAACCCAUUUUUCUUCAUGGGUUUUCUGCUUCAUUACACUUAGUGUUGUUGCUUUUAUUGUUAAUCUUAUGGAUGGUGAGCAGGAUUAAAAAAGUUAGUAGGGAAGGUUCAAAGGAACGACAGAUUUUAUGGUAUAAGCAAACAUUAGCUUGUUGUUUUGUUGUUUCAGUUUCCAAUGUUGUCUUGUGUUUGUUAAGUUAUUUUUAUUGGUAUACAAAUGGUUGGUCUGAGGAUAAGUUGGUGAGUCUUAUUGAUUAUGCAUUGAAAGUACUUGCUUGGGCUGCAACAUGUGUUUGCUUGCAAUGUCAAUUCUCCAAUCCUGGUGAACAAAAGAGGUUCCCUGUUGUGUUGAGAAUUUGGUGGGGUUUUUACUUUUCAAUUUCAUGUUAUUGUCUUGUUAUAGACAUUGUUCUCUUCAAAAAACAUGUUUCCUUCCCAACCCAGUAUUUAGUAUCUGAUGUCUUGUCUGUUGUUACUGGUUUGUUUCUAUGCAUUGUUGGGUUCUUUGUAAGAAAUGAGGGUGAAGAUAUCCUCCUUGAGGAACCCCUUUUAAGCGGAGAUUCUAGUGUUAGUAAUGGUGUAGAGCUGAGUAAGGAAAAAGGGGGUGAUACUGUAACCCCAUACUCAAAUGCUAGCAUUUUCAGCGUUCUUACAUUUUCUUGGAUGGGGCCUCUCAUUGCUGCUGGCAAUAAGAAACCAUUAGACCUUGAGCAUGUUCCUCAGCUAGAUAGCCAUGAUAGUGUUAUUGGCGCUUUUCCAAAAUUUAAAAACAGGCUUGAAUCAGCUGAUAGUGAGGGGAAUGGUGUUACCUCACUUAAGCUGGUGAAGGCACUGUUCUUUUCAGCAUGGAAAGAUAUUCUUUGGACAGCUUUGUUUGCAUUUACUUACACGGUGGCUUCAUAUGUUGGCCCAUACCUCAUCGACACUUUCGUUCAGUAUCUGAAUGGGCAAAGGGAAU
rnacentral:lncRNA from 1 species